rnacentral:rRNA from 1 species
CAGUCGCCGCGGUAAUACGAAGGGGGCUAGCGUUGUUCGGAUUUACUGGGCGUAAAGGGCGCGUAGGCGGGCGAAUAAGUCAGGGGUGAAAUCCCAAGGCUCAACCUUGGAACUGCCUUUGAUACUGUUUGUCUUGAGUUCGAGAGAGGUAAGUGGAACUGCGAGUGUAGAGGUGAAAUUCGUAGAUAUUCGCAAGAACACCAGUGGCGAAGGCGGCUUACUGGCUCGAAACUGACGCUGAGGCGCGAAAGCGUGGGGAGCAAACAGGAUUAGAGACCCGCGUAGUCCCUGUCUCUUAUAA